rnacentral:lncRNA from 1 species
UCCGUCCACCGGAUCGAUCCAGUACCGUAUCCAUUCAUUUUAGUUUGUCGUUUUUACCUUUCCGAACAUCUGAGUUUGUCGUUCGUUCAAUCAGCUGCUAUUGUAUACUACCUGCUUCAUCUGAAAAUACUUGUCUUUGAAAUAAAUGUAUCUAGAUGUAUUUUAAUUCUAAAUGCAUUCAUUUUUAUCCAUUUAUGCGACAAGUAAUUUCAGAUGGAGCGAGUACGCCCGAAGAACACAUCUGUGUGUUUGUGCGGCUUGGCAUGCAUGUAUCUUUAUUUUUCGUAUUCUGAGUACUUUGUCAAAGUAACUUUUACCAGACAAUUUGUUGGAGAACCUUUGUUGUACCUGUGUUUGUUUCUAGAGAUAGCUAUUCAGCCUAUGGAUUUCUGUUUCCGACAUUAUACAUUUCUGUUUCCGUAUUCUGAGUACUCUGUAAAAGUACCUUCUGCCGAACAAUUUGUCAGAGAAUCUUUGUUCUACCUGUGUUUG